rnacentral:rRNA from 1 species
UACGAAGGGGGCUAGCGUUGUUCGGAUUUACUGGGCGUAAAGCGCACGUAGGCGGAUCGUUAAGUCGGGGGUGAAAUCCUGGAGCUCAACUCCAGAACUGCCUUCGAUACUGGCGAUCUCGAGUCCGGAAGAGGUGAGUGGGAACUCCUAGUGUAGAGGUGGAAUUCGUAGAUAUUAGGAAGAACACCAGUGGCGAAGGCGACUCACUGGUCCGGUACUGACGCUGAGGUGCGAAAGCGUGGGAGCAA